rnacentral:rRNA from 1 species
CGGCAACAGCUCAAAUUUGAAAUCUGGCCCUCUCAGGGUCCGAGUUGUAAUUUGGAGAGGAUGCUUCGGGUGUGGCCCCGGUCUAAGUUCCUUGGAACAGGACGUCACAGAGGGUGAGAAUCCCGUACGUGCCCGGUGGCCGCCCCCGUGUGAAGCUCCUUCGACGAGUCGAGUUGUUUGGGA